UCUCCAAGAUCCCCACCUCACAGCCCGUGGGCUCUCUUAUACCCGUGCGUCGACGUCAAGGCUGCGCAUUAUGAGCGUCAAAAGGGAAUGGCGGGAAGAGGGGGAAAAACUAAAUUUUCAACACAGUGGCAGUGGAGUGGAACAACCUGCUUACUGAAUGAAAACUCUGAAGACUGACUGAAGACUUCAGCAGGUGUUCAGACUGCAGCUGGAGCCUGAGGAGCUUGGUGAAGAAUGUCUCUUGAGCAAAAUACAGCAUAAACCUGGAGGUAGCUGUGCAAGACGGUUGUUUUAUGUAUUGUCCCAGUGUCCCAUUUGUGUACGUAUACUGUUAUUAUUGUGCAUGCUAUUAAAGCUAUUUGUCUCUA